CCUACGGGGGGCAGCAGUGAGGAAUAUUGGUCAAUGGGCGGUAGCCUGAACCAGCCAAGUCGCGUGAGGGAAGAAGGCCCUGCGGGUCGCAGACCUCUUUGGACGGGGAGCAAGGCCGCCGACGUGUCGGCGGAAGGAGAGUACCCGUAGAACAAGCAUCGGCUAACUCCGUGCCAGCAGCCGCGGUAAUACGUAGGGAGCGAGCGUUAUCCUGAUUUAUUGGGUGUAAAGGGUGCGUAGAUGGAUAAACAAGUUGGUUGUGAAAUCCCUCGGCUUAACUGAGGAAUUGCAACCAAAACUGUAGA
rnacentral:rRNA from 1 species